UACGGAGGGGGCCAGCGUUGUUCGGAAUCAUUGGGCGUAAAGGGCGCGUAGGCGGCUUUGUAAGUCCGUUGUGAAAUCCCUCGGCUCAACCGAGGAACUGCGACGGAUACUGCUUGGCUUGAGUCCCGGAGAGGGUAGCGGAAUUCCCAGUGUAGCGGUGAAAUGCGUAGAUAUCCGGAGGAACACCGAUGGCGAAGGCAACCGCCUGGGCCUGUACUGACGCUGAGACACGAAAGCGUGGGGAGCAAACAGG
rnacentral:rRNA from 1 species